UUUUCGAGUGGACUCGGAGGUGAGGACGGAGGGCGGGCGGGGCGCCGGGGACGAGGAGCUGCAGGGGGCCGCCCCCGCGCCGCCAAACGCGCCCCCCUCCCCUCCCGGCGUGCUCCUGCGUGGUCGGAGGCACCGACAGGAGGAGCUGCUCCCCACGGCCAGGUGAGGGCAGGUAAGUGCUGGGAGCCCACAGCCCUGCAGCCUUUAUAUCCCCAUGGCACGGCGCAGUGUACGGCAGCUCAGUGCUGUGCCUCGCAGUGCUCAGAGCUGUCCUCCAUCACCAGCACACAGCACCCUCACAGCUAUGUAUUUCCCCACCUAUCCCAGGUUUCCAGCUGCUCUCUGUGAGCUGCUCGGUUGGAAGCUUUGCAAUGGCAUCCUGCCCCUUGUCCAGCUUCAACCAGGACUCUGUAUUACUUUUCUUAAUACAUUUAUAUAAGCGGAUGCUACAACUGAGCUGGUUUGCUAUUGCUUUUUUAACAUAUUUUGCUCUGUUUUCUCAAGCUGCUCGAAGAGCUGGAAGCAGUGACCCUCCCCAGGUGCAGCCCUAAGCAGUGCCAUUGCAGAGCUGGGGCUGAAGCACUGCAUGGCUGCUCUGCUGCACCCCAGGCAGGUUUCCCUUUGGCUCUUUGCAGCACAGCAGUUGCACAGGGGUUAUGGGACAGGCCUGGCUACUGCCGUCGUUCCGUGCUGCUUUGUGGGAAAAUGAAUUGAAGGAAGUUGUCACAUAACUUGGGGGGGGGGGAGUCAAAGAGGAAACACACGAGUCUGGGCUGUGUGCACAGGUCUGGGCGCUCUGUGCUGCAGCCUCUGCCCUGCGCAGUGAGUGAUGGAGGGUCAGAGCACCUUUAUUUUCUGCUUGCAGAUGGUUUGUCCAUUCCCAAACUAUGUGAGCAUCGUGUCAGCUCUAGGGGACAAAAACAAAGCUUCUCAUUUCUUUCUUUCCCUUCCUCUUUCUCCCUCCUUCUCCUUUCACCCCCCCUUCAGCAGUUUAAGGACACACAAGCAGCUCUGCCCUGCCAAGCUGUGCAUUCAGCUGCUGGCAUUGUGAUUCCUGGCCAACAGCUGAUGCACUGCAGCCCCAAAGGGAAGAAGGAAAGACAGCAGAUCAUUUCCCUCACAAGCUCUGGGUGCAGCUGUGCUCUAUGCCCCAGCACUUUGGGUUUGGGGUGGGGGAAUGGGGUAUUCCUGUCUGCUCCGUGUAACUGCUUGUUCUUUGUAGUUGCAGGCUGAUAGCACCUGGAAGGGGAAAAAACCCAACCAAACCAACAUAAAAGUGCUGAGGUGGUAAUGCAUGUACGUUCAUGUCUUCGUGUAAGAGUGUUCGUCAGUGCCUUUAUGUUAUGAUGUAAUAAUAAUAAUAACAAUAAUAAUAACCAAAAUACCAUUUGGAAUGCCAACAUUCAGUGGGCUUUGAGGAGAUGUAGCAGCACAUCAUGGUUUGUAGGGACAAGGAGAUACAGACCAUUCUGGGCUGCCUCAUUACCUCAAGGAUAAGACAAGAAAGUGAGCUUCUGGUUACCAUAGGGGUGGAGGCUGACCUGUCCCCACACCCCUUAGCUCAGGUGCACGGGGAUGUGCAGGCACACCUGUCUGUGGGGUGGCUGUGCAGGAAGGGCUCUGCUCCUCCUGUGCUCUUUGAGCCCAUCCCAGCACCUCCAGAGCAUUACUGCUCCACCUUUAGCCUUUUCCCAUCCCCCUCUGAUUUUGGGGGGUGGCUGGAGGCUGUGGGGAGAUGCACGGGGCUGGAGAGCUGUCAGCAGUGCUCUAGCAGCACGUAAAUACUGGAGUGGGGGAUCGCCUGUUGCUCUCCAGUAUUGCAUUGCUGCUUUAGUGAGGCUGGAAAUCAGUCCCUGGCACCUGGGGGGUUCUGUGCUGCAGGGGGUGGAGGGGAAACCUGUCUCCAGCACCAAUAAAUCACAGUGAGUAACGAGGGCCUGGUGUUGUUAAUGGGGGCAGGAUUCUGGCAUGGGGAGACCGAGCCCUUCCCCAGCAUCCUGGGUGGGAAAUGAAGUUAUGGGGAGGUGGGGGGAGCUGUUAGUAGGCUAAGAGGAAAGUGCUCUGCCCUCAGCAUCUCCCACUCUGAACUGCACAGUUCUGGUGGCAACAAUGGACACCUGGGGACAGCUGGGAGCUGGGGGCUGCGUUGUACUACUGGGACAUCAGGGGGUAUCCAUCCUCUGCAGCAGCAAUGAGUCCACGUGUCCUGCAGGUGAUGGUGCAUCACUGGCAGCCCCAGUCCCAUGCUGUGCUGGGGGUGCUGGUGGCUGACUGUCCCAUAGCAGUGGUUUUUUUCAACCAUUUCCUGCAAUUACUGAAUCCCUGCCUGCGGCUGUAGGGCAGGAGCAUGGGGGGAAUGUCCCCCUGCUAUUUCAUGGCUCAGCAGCAGCCCCAGCAGCACAGAAGGUGAGCACUUUGCUGUAUUCCUGUACUUAAUUUUGUAUCAUCAUCAUUUUACGUGUGGAGGUGGAGUGUCUGAAGUCAGACUUGGGUUGCAGACCACAAAGGCACAUGGAGGUGGUGGCCUGCAGCAUGCACAGGGAGGGGGACAGCUACAUGUAGGGGUGCUCUGAGCUAUGACUGCCCUCAGCAGCACUCGUGCCAUUCCCUGCACAACAGCAGCUCCUGCUGCUACCAGUGAGUAAUUCAGGGCUAUUCCAAAACACAGUGAUGCAGGAACUAUUCAGACAUUAGAGAGAACAGCGCUUUCUGUACCGAGACCUUCAAUCCAUCCACACCCAAUGAGAACUCAAAUGGAUGUCUUCAAUUCUAAAGUGGGUUUGUAGUUUUCUGUGUUGCUUUUGUGCUCCCUCUCCUCAGCCAAGCACCACCUGCUGGAAGGAAGUCCUGAGCACAGCACAGUUCUCCAUGCACACACGUUCAGAAAUGGAAUUGGUCUGUAUAGUGCAAUCAGAAAAGCUCUCUGGAACAUUAACAGUAACACGAACAAAAGUGAAUUACAGUUGUGAGCAGUGCUACUCUCCUUACUGAGAAUUCUGAUUUGCAACUAGAUCUCCAGCGCACUGUGAUCAUUACAAAUUACACGGUGCAAGUUACUCACUUUUUAGGGCUGCCAUUAAGUGCCACAGUUGCAACUGCACACACUGAAGGCAGACAAUGAUACAAGAAGGUGCUUGGAAUGUAUAAAAUACUACCCAAAAAACCAGCAAACACCUUGCAGGACAGACUGGCUGAUGUUUCCUUAUGUACCAAGCAGUGCCAGCACCAAAUCCCAGCACGCAGAGAGCCCAUGUGCAGGAGAGGAGCACACCAAGUGCAUAAGCAAAGGAUGGAGCAGCACAGCGGAAGGAAAGGUGUGCGCUGCCAUGGUUAGCAUUACAACACAAACAAGACAGGAAUAAAACCAAACAAUUACUUACAAAUUGGCUGGGCUUUUCUCUCCCCGCAGUUAUGUGUUUAAUGAAGGAAUAUUUGUCGCUCUUCACUCUUGCCAAAACAGAAGGGACAGCACUCUGAGUGUUCUCUCUGAAAUCCAGUUUGGUUAUAGCAUAUGCCAGUCUUCCUAAAGCUUUCCUCAGGCCUUCAUUAUCUCCCAUAGACAACACUGUAUUGACAGAAAGCUCUACAGAGGUAACAGACGUGGAGCCUGCCUUCACUGCCAGAAGCACUGAUGAAAUAUGUGCUGAGAAGAGAACCUUGAGAGCACUUCAAUAUACACAGUGAGUGGCAUAGAUGUGUGGGGCGUAUUUUAAAGAGACAGCCUUUAUUUUAAAGUACUUUGCUUUGUAGUUCUUAUAAAGUAAACAUUACAAUACUUCUUUUUUUCCCCCCACAAAUAUAUUAAAACUGUUUAAAUUUCAAAGGCAAUUCCACUGUCCGAUGGAUAUUUUUAAAGGAAAAAAUAAUAAUAAUAAUCUGAAAGAAACAGGCAGCUCAACUAAAGCUAAACUUCAAACAU